rnacentral:lncRNA from 1 species
AGCCUUUCGGAGCUGUGCGGCGCGCUGAGCAGGAAUGGCAAUGUGGACCUCUGAUGGAACAUCUGGUGGGAUCUCACAGUCAGUUCUGUGGCAAAGGAGGAUGAAGACUUAAAGAGGACUCAACAGGAAGCUGGAUAACAGAAAGAGAGCAAUGUGCUAGAAUAGAAGACCAGAAAAUGAAAGAUAUGAAAAAAAGGUGGAGUUUAAGGCUGGAUAUACAGCUUGAAAAUUACUGUGAUUGCAUGCUUGUUCAUUGGCUGGCUUGCUUGGGUACAAAUGAUGGUUUGAAUAAAGAAAGGUAUGAACGCAUGGGUCACUUCAAGUGAAGGCACUGCAAACACAAUGAUCAGUCAUUCUGGAUUUCUGGUCCUUCUGAAUUUUAAAGGCUGCGGUGACAAGUGGACAUGCAGUGACUACCUUUUGUACCUUCCUGUUUCUGAGGUGCCUGGAUGGAGGUUCAAAUAGAAGAUAGUGUCAGAUAUACAUUGUGUUGUCAAAAUUUUACCAUUAAAGUGCAUUACAACAUG